rnacentral:rRNA from 1 species
UACGUAGGGGGCAAGCGUUAUCCGGAUUUACUGGGUGUAAAGGGAGCGCAGACGGAACUGCAAGUCUGAUGUGAAAGCCCGGGGGCUCAACCCCGGAACUGCUUUGGAAACUGCGUAGCUAGAGUGCAGGAGAGGUAAGCGGAAUUCCUAGUGUAGCGGUGAAAUGCGUAGAUAUUAGGAGGAACACCAGUGGCGAAGGCGGCUUACUGGACUGUAACUGACGUUGAGGCUCGAAAGCGUGGGGAGCAAACAGGAUUAGAUACCCCUGUAGUCCCU